CUUAACCGGGGAGUGGCGCAUGAAACUGGCGAACUAGAGUACGGAAGAGGGAGGUGGAAUUCCAGGUGUAGCGGUGAAAUGCGUAGAUAUCUGGAGGAACACCGGUGGCGAAGGCGGCCUCCUGGUCCGAUACUGACGCUGAGACGCGAAAGCGUGGGUAGCAAACAGGAUUAGAUACCCUGGUAGUCCACGCUGUAAACGAUGGGCACUAGGUGUCCGGGGUAUUGACCCCCUGGGUGCCGCAGUUAACGCAUUAAGUGCCCCGCCUGGGGACUACGGUCGCAAGACUAAAACUCAAAGGAAUUGACGGGGGCCCGCACAAGCGGUGGAGCAUGUGGUUCAAUUCGACGCAACGCGAAGAACCUUACCUGGGCUAGACAACGGCGGACCGCUCCAGAGAUGGGGUUUUCCCUUCGGGGACCGC
rnacentral:rRNA from 1 species